UAAUAAUGGCAUAAUAUAUUCUAAUAAUGACCAAUAAUAUCAUUUGACUUUUCUACACCCCCCCUCAAGUUGGUGCAUAAAUAUUUGUCAUGCCCAACUUGACUAUAAGUCGCUCAAAAUUAGGCCUUGCCAAGCUCUUUGUCAGGAUAUCAGCAGUUUGCUCAUUUGAAGUCACAUACGGUAGGCAAAUAGUUCCAGAAACAAUUUUCUCUUUUAUGAAGUGGCGGUCAAUCUCAAUGUGCUUGGUUCUGUCAUGUUGCACCGGGUUGUGAGCUAUACUUAUUGCUGCUUUGCUGUCACAGAAUAAUUUUAAGGGUAAGUCAAUUUUCAACUUUAGUUCUUCCAACAGUUUCUGAAUCCACAAUAGCUCGCAGAUUCCUUGAGCCAUGGCUCUAAAUUCGGCUUCCGCACUACUCCGAGCAACAACACCUUGUUUCUUACUUCUCCAAGUAACUAGAUUUCCCCAGACAUAGGCGCAAUAUCCAGUAGUGGAUUUCCUGUCAAUAACUGAUCCUGCCCAAUCUGCAUC
rnacentral:lncRNA from 1 species